rnacentral:rRNA from 1 species
GGAGAACAACAGUUCACGCGCAGGUGGUGCCCUCUGCGCGCUCCAUCAAACGGGGUGAUGGCCCCCUAUGGUUUGACCUCGGAUCAGGUGGGAGGACCCGCUGAACUUAA